AACGAACGCUGGCGGCGUGGAUAAGACAUGCAAGUCGAGCGCAAUAUUUACCGUAGCAAUACGGUAGAUGUUGAGCGGCGCAAGGGUGGCGUAACACGUGGGUAAGUUUGUCCGUGAAGUUGGGGAGUAACUCGCUGAAAGGACGAGCUAAUACCGAAUGUGGUUUCUGGUGGCAUCACUUGGUAACCAAAGACUGGGGAGUCGCAAGACCUGGCGCUUCAUGAUAAGCCCGCGGCCUAUCAGCUAGUUGGUGCGGUAACGGCGCACCAAGGCUAAGACGGGUAGCUGGUCUGAGAGGACGACCAGCCACACUGGAACUGAGACACGGUCCAGACACCUACGGGAGGAG
rnacentral:rRNA from 1 species